rnacentral:rRNA from 1 species
AGAGUUUGAUCCUGGCUCAGGACGAACGCUGGCGGCGUGCCUAAUACAUGCAAGUCGAACGCUUCUUUUUCCACCGGAGCUUGCUCCACCGGAAAAAGAGGAGUGGCGAACGGGUGAGUAACACGUGGGUAACCUGCCCAUCAGAAGGGGAUAACACUUGGAAACAGGUGCUAAUACCGUAUAACAAUCGAAACCGCAUGGUUUUGAUUUGAAAGGCGCUUUCGGGUGUCGCUGAUGGAUGGACCCGCGGUGCAUUAGCUAGUUGGUGAGGUAACGGCUCACCAAGGCGACGAUGCAUAGCCGACCUGAGAGGGUGAUCGGCCACAUUGGGACUGAGACACGGCCCAAACUCCUACGGGAGGCAGCAGUAGGGAAUCUUCGGCAAUGGACGAAAGUCUGACCGAGCAACGCCGCGUGAGUGAAGAAGGUUUUCGGAUCGUAAAACUCUGUUGUUAGAGAAGAACAAGGAUGAGAGUAACUGUUCAUCCCUUGACGGUAUCUAACCAGAAAGCCACGGCUAACUACGUGCCAGCAGCCGCGGUAAUACGUAGGUGGCAAGCGUUGUCCGGAUUUAUUGGGCGUAAAGCGAGCGCAGGCGGUUUCUUAAGUCUGAUGUGAAAGCCCCCGGCUCAACCGGGGAGGGUCAUUGGAAACUGGGAGACUUGAGUGCAGAAGAGGAGAGUGGAAUUCCAUGUGUAGCGGUGAAAUGCGUAGAUAUAUGGAGGAACACCAGUGGCGAAGGCGGCUCUCUGGUCUGUAACUGACGCUGAGGCUCGAAAGCGUGGGGAGCAAACAGGAUUAGAUACCCUGGUAGUCCACGCCGUAAACGAUGAGUGCUAAGUGUUGGAGGGUUUCCGCCCUUCAGUGCGGCAGCUAACGCAUUAAGCACUCCGCCUGGGGAGUACGACCGCAAGGUUGAAACUCAAAGGAAUUGACGGGGGCCCGCACAAGCGGUGGAGCAUGUGGUUUAAUUCGAAGCAACGCGAAGAACCUUACCAGGUCUUGACAUCCUUUGACCACUCUAGAGAUAGAGCUUCCCCUUCGGGGGCAAAGUGACAGGUGGUGCAUGGUUGUCGUCAGCUCGUGUCGUGAGAUGUUGGGUUAAGUCCCGCAACGAGCGCAACCCUUAUCCUUUGUUGCCAGCGGUCCGGCCGGGAACCCAAAGGAGACUGCCAGUGAUAAACUGGAGGAAGGUGGGGAUGACGUCAAGUCAUCAUGGCCCUUACGACCAGGGCUACACACGUGCUACAAUGGCGCAUACAAAGAGAAGCGACCUCGCGAGAGCAAGCGGACCCCAUAAAGUGCGUCGUAGUCCGGAUUGGAGUCUGCAACUCGACUCCAUGAAGUCGGAAUCGCUAGUAAUCGUGGAUCAGAAUGCCACGGUGAAUACGUUCCCGGGCCUUGCACUCAACGCCCGUCAA